GGUGAGUAAUAUAUCGGAAUGUACCCUAGAGUGGGGGAUAACGUAGCGAAAGUUACGCUAAUACCGCAUACGAUCUGAGGAUGAAAGUGGGGGAUUCGCAAGAACCUCAUGCUCAUGGAGCAGCCGAUAUCUGAUUAGCUAGUUGGUAGGGUAAAAGCCUACCAAGGCUUCGAUCAGUAGCUGGUUUGAGAGAACGACCAGCCACACUGGAACUGAGACACGGUCCAGACUCCUACGGGAGGCAGCAGUGGGGAAUUUUGGACAAUGGGGGCAACCCUGAUCCAGCAAUGCCGCGUGAGUGAAGAAGGCCUUCGGGUUGUAAAGCUCUUUUGUCAGGGAAGAAACGGUGUUUCCUAAUACGAGACACUAAUGACGGUACCUGAAGAAUAAGCACCGGCUAACUACGUGCCAGCAGCCGCGGUAAUACGUAGGGUGCAAGCGUUAAUCGGAAUUACUGGGCGUAAAGCGUGCGCAGGCGGUUAUAUAAGUCAGAUGUGAAAUCCCUGGGCUCAACCUAGGAACUGCAUUUGAGACUGUAUGGCUAGAGUGUGUCAGA
rnacentral:rRNA from 1 species